rnacentral:rRNA from 1 species
GACGGAGGAUGCAAGCGUUAUCCGGAAUUAUUGGGCGUAAAGCGUCCGUAGGCGGUUUCAAAAGUCUGUUGUUAAAGCCCACAGCUCAACUGUGGAUCGGCAAUGGAAACUGUGAGACUAGAGAGUGGUAGGGGUAGAGGGAAUUCCUAGUGUAGCGGUGAAAUGCGUAGAUAUUAGGAAGAACACCAGUGGCGAAGGCGGCGACCUGGCCAUUUACUGACACUGAGCCGCGAAAGCGUGGGGAGCAAACAGG